AUGGAUAUGUGUUUCCCAGCUGUUUUCCUCCUUUCGGAAUUCCUCCUGGCUGAGAAAGAUUUAAAGCCCAGCAGAUUCGCCCUGCCUAAGAGGGAGGGAGAGAGGCAGUGUAUGGAGAUACCAUUGUGAUGGAAUCAGAGAGCCCAUCUGCACAAUGAACUCUGUCAUUUCCCAGGCUGAAAACUGAGGAAUGCAUUUUGAACGGGCCAUGGGUAUUCAUAUUUUGUGGCCACUUCCUCUUUGCGGGCUUUUGGGAUGUCUUUCAGCUUUCGUGAAAUGUUAUAUCAGAACCACUGUUGACUCUGUCAUCGAGUCGUCCACACACUGACAAGAGUGUUUUCCUUUGUGAAGAAGUUGGGUGGUGUGAUUUCUCAAACAGUUUUGAUUAAAAGAUGGAUGAAAUUCCCAUUGCGGUUGUUGCGAACACGUGGAAAUAGAAACAUGUGAAUGAUGGCGACAGUCUUUUUUUUGUCAUUUUUAUUUUGAUCUGAUACAAACUAACAAAACAAACAAAAAGAUACAUUUAAUUAAAUAUAUAUAUAUAUAUGUAUAUAUAUGGUGAAUGAAGACUUUCAGAGACCUUCCCUGCAGGAGCUCUGUGUGGGGAAAAGAUACGGGCAGGGUAUCCUGUGGUGGCUGACCCGUGGUACAUGGCUGCAGGGCACCCAAAGAGCAUCCAGCCUGGUCUUUAAAAACUACACAAGCAUUUGGACAGCCCAGACAGGAAAAAGACAAACUCUUUGUUCAUCGUCUCCUUGCCACACCUCAGAACUUUCAUCUUCCAGCAAUUCAGGAGACAUCGCUGCCUGUAGCAUAUGCUGUAAGGACACCUCUUUUCACCCACCAUAUGGACAGGCACACGCGGCUCUGAGGAUGGGACUUGCUCACCAGAAGCCAUGAAGAUGUCCUGGCAAUGGUGCUGUCCUACUUCUUCUCUUCACACUGCAAUGCUAUCCUGAUAGGAUUUGUUCCCUCCAAGAGAGCUGAAGCUGGAGAGUGUAUGUCUUUUAACAGAAACAUAUCAGAUUAAGAAUGUACAGCCUUCUUACUGUUGUCCUCUUUCCCUCCCGGGAGGAAGACUCCGGCCAGAGUAACUAUCUCACUUAUUUCACGGAUGUAUGUAAAAGGACAAAUAAAAGCUCCACAUUCUUUACUGUCCUCCUCCUCCCAACUGCCAAACUGUGACCCAGCGAGCCUCGUCUUUGCAUUAUUUCACACAAACUGCUGCUAUAAACAUUUCCAAAGCUAACCUCUCCCAUCUCUUAUUCCAAGCUGACUGCCUCUCCUCUCAAGCCAACUUCAACUUAGCGCUUCAUCAUGAGAACACAGUCCAGUGCUCAGCAAUGCAUGUCACCAUGGUCUUUCUGGGCUGGACAGAAGCCUAAUGGGUACACUGUGGUGAGAUCAUGAGCUAGGAAAGGGGUUGUUUUGACAGUUGAAAAUUUCUGGCAAAUACAUCCCAGGCAGAAAACAAAUUGUGUGCUUCCAGAAAGAUAUAUACAAACCAAACCAUCUGCAAAGGCACAGGUAGUGUUGUUAGUUCUUGCCAGGGAACAGGAACUGUCUGUGGCGAGUGCUGUCAGGAAAUUAGUACCAGAACAAAGUGUGACAGAUGCAAUGCGUUACUGGGGCAGGAACUAAUUCAAAUUCCAGCUCCUUUUUUUUUUUUUCUUUUUUCUUUUUUUUUUUUCUCUUUUCUAGUUGCUUCUUUAGAUCACUAGGUAUUGUUUGUUGCUAUAUUGCCUAGUGGAUAACGUGGCUCUUGGGACAUGUAGGACUAAAUUACUGAAGUCACUUCUCUCUUUUUUGUCACAGCUAAAGUGACAAUGAUGAUGAUGAUGAUACUGGCUUCUUCUGCAAGGAACACUGCCAUUUACUGAGGACAAACUCAUGCAAGAGCCUUUGAGCCCACCUCAAACCUUUGCAUUGCUUUGCAAUUGCAAGACUUUAUACAUAGCCAAUGGCAACUUAAAUUGUUUUGGGAUUUGAGACUGGAGGUUCUUGUUUGCUAUUUAAGCACUGUGGUUUGGUGUAGAUGUGCAUGCUUGAGAUGCUCUCUGAAUGACCCUUUCUAAGUUUGUCCAGAGAGGAGAAGUCUUUAAAAUCUUUGAGUGGUGAGCUGCUCUCCCUGAGAAGAAGAGGGGAAGAGAUGGAUUUCCCCUUGCUAUAGCAGCACAAAAACUUCUUCAGGCAUCAGGAACAGACAGAAUAACAGCUCUCAAAGAGUAAUCAAAAUCAUCCUCUUUCAAAUGAAAUUGCAUUUAAGAAAAGAAAUUGUGGAUAGAAAUGAACUUUACUCCACGGAAGAAAAUAGAAGUCACUGGUCCCACUGUUUUUUUCCAUCUUGAGUAGCACUGAAAUUGUUGGCAUUAGUGGUUAUCUUGCUAAGAAUAAUCAAACCAUUUAAUAAUGAAUUUUGUAGAAGAGACCCUGUUGUGUGGCAAGACUUUGCAGGGACAGGGCCGUCAAAACACCAGACAAAAUGGUGAUACCUAUUUCAAAGAGCUUACAGCACUGGCACUGACAUCUUGAUUUACACCAAAGUUGCUUUACAACUUCAUAAAAUAGGUGUGGGCUUCCCAGGGUCCAUGGAGAAGACCUCAAGAAGAACUCAGAGCCUCCUUUGUCUCCCUUUCCCACUGCCAUCACUGUGCUCCCAUGCCAUGCUUUCCUGGUGGGGACCUGGAAGCCUCUCGCCUCCCUUCAUGAGUCCCUUCAUGAACUGGCCUUAUUCUUGUCCUCCAAAACACCACAAUAAAUCUUUGCUCUC
ensembl:lncRNA